rnacentral:rRNA from 1 species
UACGAAGGGGGCUAGCGUUGCUCGGAAUGACUGGGCGUAAAGGGCGCGUAGGCGGAUGGCACAGUCAGAUGUGAAAUUCCCGGGCUCAACCUGGGAACUGCAUCUGUGACUGCAUCGCUGGAGUACGGUAGAGGGGGAUGGAAUUCCGCGUGUAGCAGUGAAAGUGCGUAGAUAUGCGGAGGAACACCGAUGGCGAAGGCAGGUCUCUGGGCUGACACUGACGCUCAUGCACGAAAGCGUGGGGAGCAAACAGG